rnacentral:rRNA from 1 species
AUUGAACGCUGGCGGCAUGCCUUACACAUGCAAGUCGAACGCGAAAGCGGAGCAAUCCGUGAGUAGAGUGGCGAACGGGUGAGUAAUGCAUCGGAACAUUUCCAGUAGCGGGGGAUAACCUGUCGAAAGAUAGGCUAAUACCGCAUACGCCCCACGGGGGAAAGCGGAGGACCGCAAGGCUUCGCACUAUUGGAGUGGCCGAUGCCGGAUUAGCUAGUUGGCGGGGUAAAAGCCCACCAAGGCUACGAUCCGUAGCUGGUCUGAGAGGACGAUCAGCCACACUGGAACUGAGACACGGUCCAGACUCCUACGGGAGGCAGCAGUGGGGAAUUUUGGACAAUGGGCGCAAGCCUGAUCCAGCCAUGCCGCGUGAGUGAAGAAGGCCUUCGGGUUGUAAAGCUCUUUCGGCGGGGAAGAAAAGGUACGUGCUAAUACCACGGACUAAUGACGGUACCCGAAGAAGAAGCACCGGCUAACUACGUG